CUCGCUAGGAAACUCGUGUAUUUCGUAACAAUCGAGAGAAUACGUAUCAAGAUUAGCAACCAUGAGCUGCGACUUUAAAUGCUUUUUCUCAGCAAGCAAUUGGGAUUUGUUGCGUGAAACGUCUUCUAGCAUAUAUAACAAUGUCGCGGAAAUAAAAUCAUCAUCAGAAAACGAUACAUAUGAAUUCGGGGGGGCAGCUUGCAAGUCAAAAGAAGGAUGUAAGGCUUUCAAAAAUCCCACCUGCGAAGGAGACGGAGGAACGGUGGAAGUAGUUGCCUCAGAUUCCUGUUUAGCAUUCGUUUCCAAAAGAUCCACAUGGAGCAUACCUCCUGGUCCUACAGUUGACCUUGGUAAAUAUUUCAUAUUCUCAGCGCUUUCCAAAUAUUCAUCGAUAUUUUCUAUAUCCAAAAAACUACUCGCUGCACUUUCCGAAACACCCGAGGGUGAACUAUACUGCAUUGGUUGUCUUAAAAAAGAACCAGAAGUUGGAUUAAGCGGAUCCGUCUCAUUAUUUUGGUAACUACUACGCAUAAAUUUUAAUCGCCAGCUGCUACUCAAAUAAUUUCGUAAUGACGUUUUCCUAGGAGAAUCAGCAAACGAUGGUUUCUCUGAAUGAAUAUCUAUAGCUUUGCAAGAAUCAUUUAUCUUCAUAUCAUAGGAAGGUACUCGUAAAGAGCCAGAGACAGAAGGACAACCAAAUGAAGUAGAAAGACUAGAUGAUGAGAGUAUUCCAGAGUUGGGAUAUAAUUGAAUAGGAUUAAGAAGCGUAUCGGAACAUUGCGCAAUUGACGGUCGCAUUAAUGGAGCUAGUAGAUAUAAAAAACGUCGAGCUAUUGGUGCUUUGCUAG